UACGUAGGGUGCAAGCGUUGUCCGGAAUUAUUGGGCGUAAAGAGCUCGUAGGCGGUUUGUUGCGUCGGCUGUGAAAUCCCGAGGCUCAACCUCGGGUCUGCAGUCGAUACGAGCAAACUAGAGUGUUGCAGGGGAGACUGGAAUUCCUGGUGUAGCGGUGAAAUGCGCAGAUAUCAGGAGGAACACCAAUGGCGAAGGCAGAUCUCUGGGCCGUAACUGACGCUGAGGAGCGAAAGCAUGGGGAGCGAACAGG
rnacentral:rRNA from 1 species